rnacentral:rRNA from 1 species
UCCUCCCUCUUUCUUCGUGCCUAAUACAUGCAAGUAGAACGCACAGUUUAUACCGUAGCUUGCUACACCAUAGACUGUGAGUUGCGAACGGGUGAGUAACGCGUAGGUAACCUGCCUGGUAGCGGGGGAUAACUAUUGGAAACGCUAGCUAAUACCGCAUAAUAUUCAUUAUUGCAUGAUAAUUAAUUGAAAGGUGCAAUUGCACCACUACCAGAUGGCCCUGCGUUGUAUUAGCUAGUAGGUGAGGUAACGGCUCACCUAGGCGACGAUACAUAGCCGACCUGAGAGGGUGAUCGGCCACACUGGGACUGAGACACGGCCCAGACUCCUACGGGAGGCAGCAGUAGGGAAUCUUCGGCAAUGGACGAAAGUCUGACCGAGCAACGCCGCGUGAGUGAAGAAGGGUUUCGGAUCGUAAAGCUCUGUUGUAAGAGAAGAACGGGUGUGAGAGUGGAAAGUUCACACUGUGACGGUAUCUUACCAGAAAGGGACGGCUAACUACGUG